CAGACACGGACGUCCACACAGACCCACCAGCCUCGUGUCUCCUUCACACACACAGAGAAACUGAAUCAAUAUGAAAAUAAUUCUUUGAGAAAUAUUAUUAAUAAUUUAACCAGAGUGACACUCAGUUUGUUUUCUAACAGUUAAAUCUCACCUGCAGAGACAAACAUGAAGACUCCAUCGAACAUCAGCAAAGUGGAGCAGAGUGACGCAGUUACAGCAGACAUGUCCGUGUUCUCUGUUUCUGCUCAUCUGACUCUUAGUUUGUCCUAAAUGUCUGAGUCUGUUGGUAUUUUCACUCAAUAACUGAACCUGAGUUUAAAUCUGACGACACAAGAUUAAAUUUAAGGUUUAAAUAAAGCUGAAAGUCACUGACUGUUAGAACCGAUCUGUCGUUCAGCCGCUCGGUCAAACUCCACACUUACAGGAUGCAACGUCUCGUACGGAAGUGACGUUGGAGUCACGUUUGAUGCGUUGGACCAAUAAAAUUUGAAUUAUCGAGCAAUGAUUUCAUGGUUCAGGAUUUACAGGUUUAACGUCCACUAGAAAGGAAAUGACAUUUUAAAUGAAGUCUCACUCAGUUUUGAAACAGUUUUUCUGUUCAAACAUUUUUGUGGGUGGAUGUUAACCAAACUGUAACCAUGACAACUGAAACUUUUUACCUAAAAGACUGAAAAUGAUUUUUAGAAAAAGACACAAACACUUACUGUUGUUCUCAAGAAAUCUGUUAAAUCCUCAAACACUCGUCUGAUCAUCAGGAUGGAACAAAAAUCCAUAUAAAGAUAAAAAGUGUGAGGUUGGUGUAAUCCAUCUGCUUUCUCUGUAGGUCAAAAUGAACCUACUGAAGGUUUAUUCAACACAAGCAAUUAGAAGAAAUAGUAAAUUAAAAUACUCUGUGUGUGAACUCGACUGUGUACCAACCAGCUUAACUAACCUGUCUAUCGUUUUGCUUUGACUUCCUGUUUUGCAGACAUCUCUUUGCAAAACCAUCCAACCGACAGUCGACCACAAUUGCAAAGUGACAGACGAAUUAAAGUAACAGGAAAUGAACCUGUAGAGAAAACCUUCCACUGUCUGUCAGUUAAUUCAGAUAAACUUGUUCUAAUAAAUAAAGUCAAAGGUCAUGACCUCCUGCACAGCUGUUCUGCAGAACUUUGUCCACCUUUGAUUGUCUUUAAGUUGUGUUGGAGCCACAGAGAGCAAAUCUUUGUUCUUUAUGGAGAACCAGUGAGGCUGUUUGGACUUUACUGUGAAACAUCAGUGCAGGAGUCUCUCAGUACAUCUGUUUACAGUGAGAAACUAUGAAGCAGCAGAAACACACACAGAGAAAACAUGUAGAGACAGUCAACAGCAAAUAGUCU
ensembl:lncRNA